CCCGACCCCGCAACUGCUCACGACCUCCGGUCAAAGUCAACCUUUCCCACCACGUGGAGUGAGUUGGAAUGCAUUCUCGGGAGUUGCAUAGAAGUGUUUUGAGAAAGGGAGAUGCAGAGUUGAAUAAAAGUGUUUCCCGGGAGGGGCCUAGCGGAAAGCAGUAGGUGGCCAAGGCGGGUGGAACUCAGCACUGGCGUAGAGCGUCUCCUGGCGUGGGCAUUCGGUCCAGCGAGUCCGCGGGAAUCUUGGAUGCGCGGAGGUUCCGAGAUCGCGGUGACUGAUCCGGGCUGCAAUCGUGGCCGGGGUAAGAGUGCGAGCAGGAGGGCUGGAGCGGCGCCCGGGGAGGGCACAAGCCAGGGAGGCACAAACUGGGGAGGCCUCUGCCGAGGGCACAGCUAUAAGCUGCCGCCGGCGCGCGGUGUUGACUGGCAUCCUAGCAACAGGCGGGCGCCGACUGCUGCGGAGCAGGGCGCUGCAGAAAGAGUGCGGAAAAGAUAGAGGAAAUUAUUAGUGAUAGCUCCUCAGAAAGUGAGGAAGAUGAAGAGCCACUUGACCAUCGUCUGGAAGCAAGUGCAGAUUUGCCAUCAGAAUACUGGCAAAUUCAGAAGCUGGAGAAAUAUUUAAAGUGGAGGUUGCAGUGAGCUGAGAUCCUGACAUUGCACUCCAGCGUGGGCACAGAGUGAAACUCCAUCUUGAAAAAACAAAACAAAACUGGAGUUUUGGAAGACGGAACAUCUAAGAUGAUCACAUGUCCUACAAAAGAAACAUCUACAAAACAGCUGAUUGGCAUUGGAAACCCAGUGCUUGAUAAAUAACGUAUAUUCUGGACCACACAGAAGAUGGAGCUGUAGAAGUUACUAGCUCAGGGCCCACAGACAUUUUAAAUCUUCGCAUUCCUCUGGGUGAUUCACCUCGGUGGCUAAAAGUUUCCUCUACUGAAUGUUGAUAGAGUCGUGCACCCUUUCGUCCAGGCAAGUCAAAAUCUUUCAUUUCCAAUGGAGGCUGAACAGGUUUGGAAAUCCAAUUCUUAUUAAAACACAUAAAUUCUAUGUAAUAUUGACUUAGUAGUCCCUGAUGGAACUGUAGAAGUUUUGUAGCUCAGGGCCCAUAAACAUUUUAAAUCUCCGCAUUUCCCUCUAAGAUUCACUUAGGUGCUGGAAGUUCCCUCUUUUGAAUGUUGGUUCAUGUGUCCGCCCUUUCGUCUAUUGGAGACAGAAUCUGUCAUUUCCAGUAGAGGCUGAACGGGUUUGGAAACCCAAUGCUUAAUAAAUAGCCUAAGUUCUGUACAACACAGACUUAGUAGUCUCGAAUAGACCUGUAGAAGUUACUCAGUCAAAGCCCAUAGACAUUUAAAAUUUCCGCAUUCCCCUGGGAGAUUCCUUUACGUGGCUAAAAGUUUUCUCGUCUGAAUGUUGUUAUAUUAGUCAACCUUUAGGUGUAGUUGACACUGAAUUUAUAAAUGUAAAUGGAGGCUGUACAUUUAUACGUUUACAUUUAUAAAUGUAAAUGUAAAUUGGUUUGGAAACCCAGUGCCUAAUAAAUAACGUACAUUCUGGACCUGUCAGACUUAGUAGUCCCUGAUGGAGCUGUUGAAGUGACUAGCUCAGAGCCUAAAGACAUUUUAAAUCUUCAUAUUCCUCUGGUGGAUUCACUUAGGUGGCUUAAAGCCCCUUCUACUGAAUGUUGAUACAUUCGUGCAACCUUUCGUCUAGGUGAGCCAGAUUCAUUCAUGUCCAAUAGAGGCUGAAUGGAUUUGGAAACCCAAUUCUUAUUUAAAAACAUAAAAUCUGUACCAUACAGGCUUAGUACUCCCAGAGGGACCUGUAGAAGUUUUUUAAUGAAAGAACACAUUCCUCCAUAUAUCACAGCCUUGAGCCCGACACAUCACAUCCCCCCCAUAUGCCUCCACUUCCUGGGCCCGACACAAACACAUUCCU